AGUCGAGAAUCUUCCGCAAUGCGCGAAAGCGUGACGGAGCAAUGCCGCGUGAGUGAUGAAGGCCUUUGGGUCGUAAAGCUCUGUCAGGGGGGAAAAACAUUGAUGGUACCCCCAGAGGAAGCCACGGCUAACUACGUGCCAGCAGCCGCGGUAAUACGUAGGUGGCGAGCGUUAUUCGGAUUUACUGGGCGUAAAGGGUCCGUAGGGGGAUUUUUAAGUCUGAUGUGAAAUGCCGCAGCUCAACUGCGGAACUGCAUUGGAAACUGAAGAUCUUGAAUCAGGUAGAGGUAAGUGGAAUUCGUGGUGUAGCGGUGGAAUGCGUAGAUAUCACGAGGAACUCCAAAGGCGAAGGCAGCUUACUGGGCCAUGAUUGACCCUGAGGGACGAAGGCCAGGGUAGCGAA
rnacentral:rRNA from 1 species